rnacentral:lncRNA from 1 species
CCUACACUAUAUUUUAUGUAUUUUCAAUUAAAUAUUCAGCGCCAGAACGGACAUUAUACCAUGCCUUACCUGUAAGUUUGCCACUUAUCAUGUUCAAAAACAUUCUGGAUCCUAAAUUUGGAUGGCCUCUAAAUAGGCCAUCCAAAUUUUCAGAAUCAAACUGUUAAAUACGAGUAUGCUACAAAAAAUAAAAAAAAAUAAAAUCAGAAAUGAAAGGUAUCAAUUGCAUGGACGCAAACAUACAUGGGCAUUCCUUCAAGCUCAUCUUCAGGAUUUAGGAGCCUAGUUGAACAAUUUUAUAAUUGUGGCAUCUUCUACUAAUUCAAUCAUCGCUGUGGACAUUCAAUAAUUAGAUGGUUGCGUCCAGUAGAAGUUGUGGACAACUACAAUUAUUUGCUCAACAACUAUGGGGCCAAAUAAUAUCUUCUGGAACCCUCUCUUUGACCCGAAUUGAGUAACAUGCAAGGCCGAAUUAACUCACCCACUUGCAGGGGUUUCCUGGAAGCCACUUGAAGUGGCAUUCAUUGGUGGAUUCCAAGAAAAUUUAAGAUUGUCCUGCUUGCAACCCUUGCCAUUGCAUCAAAGCAUUAACCCAGACACAUAUAAACAGAUAUAUGAGAUACACAUUUAUGAAGCAUUAAGUGAUAGAUGCUGAAUGAUUAGAAUGCUUCAUGUUGAAGAGGAGUUUAUACUACCUAGCCUCAUCAUAUUUG